CAAGCAGCGGAGCGUGUGGUUUAAUUCGUUGCUACACGAAGAACCUUACCUGGGUUUGACAUAUAGGUUGUAGGGAACUGAAAGGGACCGACCUUCGGGAGCCUAUACAGGUGUUGCAUGGCUGUCGUCAGCUCGUGUCGUGAGAUGUUCGGUUAAGUCCGCUAACGAGCGCAACCCUCGUCGUAUGUUAUAUGUGUCAUACGAGACUGCCGGUAAAAGCCGGAGGAAGGUGAGGAUGAUGUCAAGUCAGCAUGACCUUUAUAUCCAGGGCUACACACACGCUACAAUGGUCUGUACAAUGGGUAGCCAAGCCGCGAGGCGGAGCCAAUCCUGAAAGCAGGCCUCAGUUCAGAUUGCAGUCUGCAACUCGACUGCAUGAAGCCGGAGUUGCUAGUAACCGCAGGUCAGCAAUACUGCGGUGAAUACGUUCCCGGGUCUU
rnacentral:rRNA from 1 species